GUAUUGGUGGUUCAGUGAUAGAAUUCUCAUCUUCCAUGCAGAAAGCCUGGGUUCAAUUCCUGGCCAAUGCA
rnacentral:tRNA from 1 species